UUGCCUUAUGAACAACCCCUCCCUCCCUCUUGAAGCUUAUCCCCUCCCCUGCCUCCGCAAUACCAGAUUACUUCAAAUUACAGAAGAUAAUCCAUCUCUCAGCAGCAGCAGCUGCUGGAGGAGGAAGGAAAGGAGAAUUUAAGGGGGAGAAAGAGAGAGACUCGUUUACGUGCCCCUUCCUCUAUUCUUCUCUACAAACACAUUCUCUCACAUCUUCUUCAUUUUCCCAGAAACAAGUUCAGUAAACCAUUCUUUUAUCUCUCUACUAACUAGCUUCUCUGCAAAUAUUUCUCUGUAAUUUUUUUUUACCAGAUUUGGCGGCGCAAUGCUUCCUCCCCUUGCUUUUCAGCUCAGAUAUCAAGUAAAAUCAGGUUUCUUGUUCACUUCGGGUACUCCCUCCACCCAUUACUGCUCUCUCUCCUUUUAAUUUCUACUUUUUUUUAUUUUAGGUAUUCGCAUUAACAUCUACAUUGCCUCUUUUAUUAAUACUGUGCUUCAUACCCCCUAAUAAAUACCUUUUCUUUCUCUAAUUUCCUUUCCCGCAAAAUGUGAAACUACUAUGAUUAAAAAACUCUUUUUUUGUUUGUUUUUUAAUCAUAAUAUUGUUUGUUUGUUUUUGUAUCAUAAUUAAUACAAAACAAACAAUAUUAUGAUUAAAAAACUCUUUUUUUGCCACAUUAGUUUCCUAAGGCCCCACACAAGUUGCCACGUCAGCAAUUUCUGACGUGGAAUGUUCAAUUUUUUGCAAUUGGAAAAAAUUAACAGUUUAAUCAUCUAAUUGACAAAAUUGAAAGGUGGAUCACCGAAGUGGAAUAUGGCCUAUAGUUUAGGGUACUAAUUCAUAUUUAAGCCUAAUUAAAAGGAUGGAUUAUAAACCAUAUUGUUACGUUCGGUUUGAAUCCAGAGAAUGAAAUAGACGAAGGGAUAAAAUAAAAUUAGUAUAUUUGAUGAUUAUUUCAGAACAUAAAUCAUUCAAAUGGAAUGAAAAUUCAUUCUAUUCUUUUGUUUUUUAUUCUAUGUGGUGAAGGUGAAAUAAAAUCUGUUUUAAUGAAAUGAAUAUAUAUAUAUAUAUAUGGCUAUAUGUAUAUACACAGCUGUGUAUUACACAGUGACGACGAGUUUUUUGGGCUAUGACGACGGUUUACCUGUCGCUGUAGCCCAGAAUAUCUAUGAUGACGGGUGAACCCGUCGCCAUAGCCAAAAAUAUCGUUGCCACAGCCGAUUGUGCACAUACAUUUUCCCAUAUAUAUAUAUAUAUAUGAUAAUUUUGCCAUUAUAUAACAACACCCACCACCGCCAACAAUCAAAAUACACUUAAAAUGCUUUAAAAUCAUUUAAUUCCGUCCUUUCAUUCUAUUCGUUGGUUGAUGUAAAAUUAAAAACGUCUUGUGUUUUUGAUGGAAAUGGACCAAGUGGUUAGCAUGAAGUUAACUUUAGUAAAUUGACCAAUACAGUGUCGAUACGCAGACCAACUUGUCAUGAACUUAACUUCACGAUAACCCGAAUUAUAAUUAUAAGUGCGGAGGCUGAAUUGAUUGGUUUGACUUGCGUAUAUGAGCGGCUCCAGCACGAGUCUCAUUAGGGGGCAUCAUCCAAUUGUUAUUAUGGUAGACUAGAGGAUAUUCUUCCUUAAUUGCUACUUCUUUUGCACAUUCUUCUUCAUGUAGAAUUUGGAGGAGUUGUUUAUGAAGUCUUUCCGUACGCGUUAGAAUAAUUUGUCUUGCUGCCGAUCUCUUCUUUUUCGGAAACUUAAAGUUCCAUUCAAAAUUCUCAUCAGCUGAACAACCUGUAAUUGCAAAUAUAAUUAUGUUUAAUCAUCUAUUAAUUUUCUUAUAUUUCAAUAUAAUUAAAUAUAUUUCAUGAAUUGAAUAUUUUAUGAGAGGAUAAUCAUAUAAAUUGUGAAUGUUUUAUGUCGACUAUUUGAUUGUCAGAUAUGUGGAUAAGUAUUAUUGAUAAUUGUUGCGGAGAGAUGCCUAAUAAGUGAGCUCACUCCUAUAAUUCCUACCAAUCCCGUAUCAAUAAAUUUCAAAAAAUGAAUAAAUUGUAUAAAUGAGGAAGCAAAUUUUAUUUGAAUACAAUUACAAAUUAUUACAGAUCUUAGUUAAAAAGAUUUGAACUUGCAUCUAAACUCCUUGUAUGGGAAUUUAAUAAGUAGGUGAUUCCAUUUCCAAAACACAUGAUUAUAAUAACAAUAUUCCAAAGUUCACUUCAUCAAAAUAGCUAUUCUACCCAUUACAAAAUAUAUAAUCAAUAACCUUUUGAAGCUAAUUAUAAAUACUUUUCAAAUUAAAAUCAAAAUGAUUUAAUUGAAUUUUAAACAAUACAAUUAUAAAUAUCUAAUUUGUACUAAUUAUAAAUUUAUUAUUUUAAUCAUAAUUUAAAAAUAUUUCAUAUUAAUGUUGGAAGGUCAAAUUUGAUAUUAUAUUUGGAAAGAAAGGAGAGAGUUUUUGUUUAAAUAUUUCAUAUUAAUGUUGAAAGGUCAAAAUAUAAAUAGGUGAAAUUUAAAUACACUCGUAUCCAAUUUUUAUGUCCGCAUAGAGUUUUUGUUUAAAUAAAGAGAACAAACUAAAUUAGAAAAUAGAUUUUCCACUUAAUUUACAGGUAUAUCAAACAUGUACUUAUAUAUUGUAUAGAUAAGUCAAAUAAAGAGAACUAACAAAAUGAGAGCUAUUAUAGCAAAAAAUAGGAAAUAAAAUGUUGUGCCAAACUCAAAUUUCACCCAUUUAAAGUAAAGAUAUCUACAUGUAUUAUGUAUAUGUAUAUACACACAUUAUUACUUACAGAUUACAGCUAUAUGCAGGAGUGUGAAACAUAACCCAGAAGCGGGUGGAAUUAUUUCUUUGGUUUGCCUAUUUUCUAAAUUUUUCGAUAUUAUGUGCUAAAAUUUGAGAUUAUUGCAUUUGCAUUUAGUUGCUGAUAUGCGGAAUAAUGUUUGCAAUUGAUUUGAUUGAUCUGAUAUUUGUGUUGUUAAUCGUGUUUAAUUGAAAAUUUUAGUGGGUUCUCGAUUGGAAAGUUUGUGUUUAGAUUAGAGCUAUUCACGUUUCUUAUAUCAACAGUAAGGAACUGGGUUAAUUUCUUAAUUUGAUUAUUUACUAUCUUCACUUUAAGUCUGUAUUUUGGUUUUGUUAAUAUUAUGAAUAGACACAAACAUGUAAGUAUGCAUGUAAAUGAUGAGGUGAUGAGAGAUUAGUCAGUAAUGGUGCAUAACUACUGCUAUACUAGCAAUUUAAGCUACAUAUUUUAUCACUGUUCAUGUAAAGGAGAAAUUGGUCACAUAAACAAGUGUGUUUGGUCAGAUUUAAGGGUUUAAUAAGAUUAAGGAUAUUAAGGCUUUGGAAGUGUGAAUUUUCCUUACAGAAUUUUUGGGAUCAAUGUCCUCCUUCGCAUUUGUUGCGGGACAGAGCUAUAUUUCUAGCAUCAUUGUUGCAGUUUUCAUCAGCUAUGGGUGUUUUUCAUGGUUUUUAAUUAACAUAGGGUUUAUCUUUCUUUUCCACUUUUUUCUUUAGGGUGGACUUCAUUUCCGCCCUACUGUUUUUAUUUAUUUUUUAUUAUUGUAUUUAUUUUGACCAUAGCUUUUAGACUAGCUAACAGCUAAGCCACUAAUCACACAGCUAAUAAAGUCGAUAGCUGGUAGCGAGUCGGUAGCAGCCAACUGUUGCUAUCGGGACUAUCUUACAUACUACAUUAGUUAAAGCAACCGUUAGUAUGUAUGCAUAAGAAGGUGAGCUAUUUGUGAGCCGCUAAAGCAAGCAUAGGUCUUUGUUAUAGGAGUGAAUAGAAGGAUGUUCUCUAGAGUGAGUGAACGGUAAAGAUUUCGCCUACAAUAGACUCCAACAACCGAUGUUUCAAUAUCGCUUUUUACAGCUGAUGUAGCCGGGCAACUGUUUACCAAAAACACAGGUCUCCACUAAGUUGUAAGACCAUGUAUGGGGGCUGACGCCUGAUUUUAAUCUUUCUUCUGUUGAAAUGCAUUUUCGAGCACUUGUAGUAAAAGGGUUAAAAAGUCUUCUUUUGAUCAAAAGGUAUAUUAAUUGAAGCUUUAUUUCCUUAUUGAAUUUUUGCACUUUCUCAUUGGUGCUUUAUAGGAGUAGAUGGUCUUGAGUAACGGUCUGUAGGAUAUCAAGAAAGCUUGAUUAUGACUGAAGACUGAAAGAUAUAUAUCCUAUCUAAAGUUUGGAUGAACCUUAGGAAGGUGCAUGCUGACUAAACACUAAACUUAGCUGAUGAGUGAUAAUAGUAUAGUUUUUUUGACAUACUAAUAAACAAUUCAUCGGUUAAGAGUGGAUAACUACUUGGGACUAUUUUUGUAGAAUUUUGGAUUCUAUUGCCCUGAUGAACUAGAAAGAUAAGAUUUGGUACCCUUGUAUACAAUAAUACAGUUUUGCAUAAUCAGGUGGAAAUGGUUGCGGACAAGUUUCUCUAGUUGCUUUUUGUGUAGUGUACUCAGAACUCUCAAAGCUUCACGUCCUUGGUCUUUCAGUUGAUCCAUAAGGAUUAAACUUAUUAUUUGACAUAUAAAAUAAAUUUAUUAUGUGGUUCUCAGGGUUUGUUCUGUAAAAAAUUUGGUUUAUGCUCUUUAAGAUCACGGUUGUUGAAGAUAAAUGUGAACUAACGAUACGAUACGAAACACUAUGGAACAACACAUACAAGGUUUAUGUGUGUGUUUGUUGUUUAUACACAGUGUAGCAUCUGGUUCACUAAAUUUACAGAAGGGUAGUAUCUGUUGUUCGUAAAUUUUAUUGUACCAAAAAAACACAAAAAACUGGUGAUAACAUUCUAAUUAAAAUUUUUGCUAUAUAAUUCUUAGUUGAAAGACAUAAAAAACUAACAUAUCAAACUUCUUCGCGAACCUUCUAAUAAUAUACUGCAGCAUUUUGGUUAUUAAAUAUGCUUUCUGCCAAUAAAUUGACCACUGAUGAAAUUUAAUCUAACUAACAAUUUCAUUCUUAUAAUCUGAAAGUAUUUUAAUUGCAUUAGUAGCUGGUUUUAAGAGUUUCUUACCAACAACAUUUUCCAUAUGCGUGCAGUUCCUUGAGGACGAUACCGUGGAUCCUGAAGUGCAUUUGUUGUUUGAAUGAUCUUCGCAGCAAGUUGAACAGUUAUGAGAUUUCGCUACUUUCCCUCUUAAAUUUGAUUUUAUGUAGGGAAUAGUUGGCUUGUCGCUAAGAGGUAAAUGUUUUAGUUUACUGCUUUGAGUAUAUGCAUGUUUCGGAGUAUAGGCAGCAAGAGUUCCUCUUAUUCUCCACCUUGAUCCACAUGCAUUGCACAACACUGGCUUUUCAGGCGGUCCAAUUCUCCAAAGUGGCGUGUCUGUUCCAAUUUAGGUACAAAAAUAAUCAAAAUAAAGUUCAAGACACUGAUAGGAAAAAACACAUUGUGUCAAUAGAGUAUAUGAUCUUAAAAAAACUGCAAAAUAUUUUUCUUUUGAGUAAAUUAGAGACCCAAAGUCCCUUUGAAGUAAUCAAGUGCACAAAUAUUUUAAUUCAUAAUCAGUGCAUGACAAAUUUAAACUCAUGCUCUUCUGUGGUACAUCAUCGUGCCUAUCCAACCAGCUGUAAUUUUAAAAACAUUUUCAUGUAGGUAAUUGAUCCGAACUCUGUUAACGUUGUAGUCAAAUUAGGUUUUGUACAUAAAUACAACACAAUCUAGUUUAUAAAAAUCUAUAUAGCUCCUUUGUCGUUGUAACAUGAAACAAGAAUGCAGUUGAGGUUCUUCAUUUGAACCUAAUCAUGAUAAUUCUUAGUGAUUCCGCUAAAUACUUAACUGGAGAAUUUACAUUUAAGCCAAUAUAUAGUGACACAUUACUUUUUAAUGGAUUUAUGUACAAACCUUCUAUUUGCUUUCAGUAAUCAGGCCUCAAAGGCAUUGCUAGGAUCAGAUGAGGCGGUGCCCUACUAAUACAUGGGUUUAAGGCACUCUUGUUGUACUGUGUUAAUUCUUAUUGACUUGCUGUUUUUCCUCAUGUUCUGGUAAGUUGAGUUGUAUUUCAUUACUAUGCAUAAAAAAACAAUGAAAGUAGUACGCCUCACUUGUAUUUCUUUUUUGUUUUCCAUUCUAAUCUUUUUAUUUAUCUUUUUUCCUUUUUGAGAGUUUUAAUAGCCUAGCAUGAAAAGAAUAUAUUUUUUUGGUGGGGUGGGGGUUGAAUAUUUUUUUAUUUAAAACUCAAUACUUCGUACUUAAAUAGAACUGUAGGCAUUGGUUUUUGUAACUUUGGAACACCUAAAUCUAAAUAUGAUACAAUGGUCCCACAUUUAGAACAUUUGGAAUGAAUUGGAGUUUAUAUGAGGUCUCAAUUUGCUUUCUAAAGUAAUUAUAACUUGUUAUGACUUUUGGGUAGUCCUAUGGUGGGCGAAGAUGGCCCACCUAGUGCUUUUGGAUAGUACAUUAAGCUUAUUCUGGGCUCAAGUCAGAUCCGCGUCGUUAAAAAUGAUAUUAGAGCAGUUUUCCCUCGCGAUGUGGUUACUUCCUAAUGUACUAAUAACCAAGAUGACCAAAUUGGUGCUCUUGGACAGUGGAUUAAGUCUUAUUAUGGGCUCGUGCCGAACUAGAGUCGUUACAAAUGAUAUCAGAGCAAUAGCUCCUUGUGGUGUGGUGGGUAUGGAACCCAUCAAGAUUGUGAUUCUAUAUUGAUUGUAGAUUGACCUGUAACUUUGGGCCUGACGGUCGGUCCUCCAUUCAUCCGACCGGAGGUGUGGAUAACUAGGCCACCUUCACAACCUUCUCCCUUUUGCCCCUAUGUUGUAGUAAGGUAAGGCGGUUAUCGCUUGAGUUGCUCAACUGCAACUGGUACCAAAACCAUGAAAUUUUCUUUCUUGAAAGUAGUUCUAUAAGUGCUUUUUCUACACGAGGAUGUUAGGGAUUUAAAUGGGGGAUUGUGAUUCUAGACGUAAUUGUGAAUUGGCUUGUAAUUGUGGGCUUGACAAGGACGUUAGAGAUUUAAGUUGGGGAGAUUGAUUUGCCCUUGCCCCAUAUCAAAACAUGUGUGAUGAAUCAGAUUAUACAUAAUGUUCUAACUCUACUUUUUAGAGUACCAGUAGUUUAAUUACUUUCAUGACUUUGUGUGGGCUUGUUGUGGACUAAGAUGAACCAACCAACUAAUGCUAUUGGGCAAUGGAUUGAGUUUUGGAUUUGGACUUGGAACGUUACACCAAACAUAAUCCAUGUUCAUCCUCCAAGUACAUUAUGUAACUUUUCUUAUUAGUUCGUGAAACUAACUAUGUUGAUUGGAUUCCUAUGUUUCCGUGGUAUUCAAAACUCAGAUAUCUUCCAUUGAUUAAAGAUACACGAAUAUGGCAUGGCAAGAUUAAAAUUCAAAUUAUUAAAGGAAAAGUUGGAAGCAUAGAUAUGGAAAGAAACACUUAAAAGUAUAGAUUCCUUACUCUUUUUGAAUAAGUUUCCAAGUAAAUUAGAAUUAUUUUGAAGGAUUUUAAGCGAUGUUAUUUUUAACUAAAUUAGGAGAAUUUAGAGAGGAUAGAGAUAAACUUAGACAGGGAAAUAGAGAGUGAGAUCAUAAAUUUAGAGAGAAGAAAAAGAUAGUUGUUAAAGAGCAAGAAAAUAAGCUUUAAAAUCCAAAUUCAACAUAUGUUUGAAUGAUACGAUCUCAAGAAUAUAAAGACUAAUCUAGUUUACAAGAGAAAGCAAUUCUAACUUCUAAAAAAUUGAAUUGAUGCCACUAACUACCUACCACGACUAUAGUAGCAAGCCCAAUGUCAUGACGGCUGUAUGCAUUUUUACAUAUUAUGGGAUAGAGCGUCUCCCCAUGCAUUUCUUUGGCAUUUAGUGAUGGGUGUUUUCGUGGGGUUUAUGUUUUGGAUUUUCACCAAGAAAUUGGGUGGUCCUUCAUUGAUGAAUUUAUUGUUUUCUUUGGAGUACCUCUUGUCCUCACUUUUAACUUAAAAAUAUCUUUAUUUUCUACAUAUUAUUCUUCUUUUAUCUAUCUAAAAGAAAUGAAGUUAUCGUAUAGUAUUUUUAUUGGAAACCUCUUUGAUGACUAUGGAGACAAAUGUAAAGGGACAUAGCAUGUUUCUCUUUAUCACUGGAUUUGAGUUGAUGUGUGUCAUGUUGGAAACAUUUUAAACCCAGUUUGGCCAAGAUUGCAAUGCGUUGAAUUGGUAAUUAAGCUGGUCAUAGCAAGCUAUGUUGAGUUAGGUUGUUUAUAGAGGCCAAAGAAUUGGGUAUGGGUUCAGUUAGAGUCAUGUAGUAGUCCUAUUGGUUGUCCUUAGACUGUGAAUAGUCUUAGAAAAGUAACUGUUUUUUUGACAAGUUUUGGUGUUCCUGGGGUAUAAACAAUAUUGGAGGAAAAAACAGGUUUUGAAAAUUAGAGUUUUUAGGUUGAAACGGGUAAUAUAUCAAAUAACUUUGCGGUUGGGUUGAAAGAAGACAAUAGAAACAAAGGACCCAAAGGAAGUGACAAAGAAGAUAGGAUUUAGAACUCCAUUAGGUCACAAUAAGCAUCACAAGAAUUCUCCAAAUUUAAAUUUUCUCAAAUUUUCUCCAAGAAUUAAAAGACUACAUUAUAGGACGUGAGAUCUGUCUCUGUUUUAUUUUCUAUUUUUUAAUUUAAUUUUUAAUUAUUUGGUUAAGUAGCAUUUGUGAACGACUUAUCAAAAAGAAAAAGAAAACAUGAGUGGCAUUUAUAAAUUAUUCGAAAGAGGGUGGAUCCUAGAUAGUAGAUACACUGCAGAGAAACAAGUCAAGCAUAAGAAUAUAGUCUGUAUGCAUAGGGGCGUUAAUCCUCUCCUCAACCAACUAUGCUAUGCAUCUAUCCCAGCGAACAAAAAGGAAAUUACCUUGGUGCAAACUCAUAUAAGAAUCCAAAACUGAAACAAUGCAUAUAAAGAUCAUGAUGAACCCAAAAAAUUUAUAUUUAACAUCAAAAGACUUCAUAUAUUGUGAACUCUACGUUCUUUAAACAUCAUUUACUCCUCCCUCAAAAUUAACCACAUUAAGCAGGGUUUGCAUUUUAUUUCUAAUAUUGAUCGGAACACCUUGCAACUGGGCAUGAACCCUUUAGUUGAAUUAAAAUUACCCCACUCACAUCGAAAAUUGAUGCUCUCCUCAACCUUCAUACGCACUACACGUAGAAAGAAUUUUCCACUUCUCCUCAAGUAAUCAAAUGGUAUAAGAAUGACUCGUAACUCACCCGAGCAUGCAAGCACAACAACUUUAUAAGUGCUAUUAAUUCCUAAACAACAUGAAGUAAAAUUCGUUGACACCCUUUCUAUCGAUAGUUUAAGGGUAGUCUUGCUGAAAACUUCCCUCGACAUGCCUACUCACCCUAAAGAAUCUGCUGGUAUCUCGGUGUAAAAAGUAUCAAUUAAAUAUAGGACUUGAACAAUAAUGUUAGAGAUAUAAAGACAAUAUCUAGUGUCAAACCGUAUAACCUUUAGGUCUAAUUCAAUGAAAUACUUUGUUUGAUAUCACACUUAUAACAGCCCACUUAACAUCCUCAACAAAGAUUGACCGUUUUUGACAUUUCUCCAACUAAAAGAUUCUCUUUAUUCUUCAUCAAAUAUUUACUUUCAAAAGAAAAUAAUAAUUUAUAGAAACUACACUAAAAUUCAGUUAUAUGUUAGAAAACUUGGCAAAAAAUUGAAAAGGUUAGAAUCCCGGUGUCUCUCUAUAUAUAUACACUCACACAAACACACAUAUAUGUGUGUGCUUGUGUUUGUAAUGGGUGGCGUCUUUCAAGCUUAUUAAUUUUUUCAAAUUAUAGAAAGAUUUUCACGUUGGAAGUUAUAUAUGAAGAUUUUAGGUUUGGAGUUAGAUUCUAUACAAGUCAAGGAUGAUUUGGUAAGUGAAGGAGGAGAUGAAAGACCAAAUGCACUUACUUCCCUUAUUAGGGUGGUUCUUUGGCUCUCAGCCAAAAGAUUCAUCUCUUGUAAAUAUAGAUUGGGGUAUUUAUACAUGUAUGUGAACAAUUUGGUAGCUAAUGAAAGAUAUAUCUCAAGAAUGACACUUCUCAUGUUAUUUUUCCAUUCCUUCGUGAUAGUCUAUGUUGCCUACGUGGCGCCCACGUAAGUAUUGGAUAAAAUUUGUUGUCGAGAUAUUUAUGACUUGUUGUCUCGAAUUCUAGUUCAUGAUAUGACAUUUGAUCCAACUCAAAUAAUAUUUUGCAGUGGCCCGAAAUAAAAGAAAGAUGAGAUUUAGUAGUGGUAGCAGAGGACAGAGGCUGAUAGGCCAAAAUCCAGAGCCCACCACUAAUCCCCGUGGUAUGUACCUAUUAAGUUAUUUUGGCCCAACUAUAUAUAUGUUAUUCUAGUUAGGGUUUUUGUGUUCUUUUUUUUCUCAGAUUUGUAGCCUCCUUUGGAGAAGAGAAACAGUUUGGUUGUAUUCGGUUUUUUGGGAUGUGAAAGUUCUCUUCAAAGAUGUAUUCUUCACACUUUGAUAUAGUAUCUUCCUCUCGCCCAUGGUUUUUACUCGAUUUGGGUUUUCCAUGUAAAUUUUAUGUUCUUUACUUUAAUUUUUCGUUGAGUUAUGUGUUUGGUCAUAGUUUGUUUUAACAUGACCAUAUAGGGGAAUCCAAUAUUAAGAUUUGUAACAUAGACAAUAAGAUCCAUAAAAAACAAAAUCCUAGCCAAUCGUAAGAAACGUGUUUCUUAAUUGGGUUAACAAUAUUUCAAAAAUAGCAAUGCCCGCGAAAUCCAAAAGUAGAUGGUAGGUUUAUAGAAGACAAUCAAUAACUGAGAACCAAUAAAUCAAAUCUUAUUCAGUGCUAUAAAAUCUUCAACACUUAAAAUAUCCAUUCAAUGGACAAGAUUGAGUUAAAGAUAAACUUAUAUUAAUAAAAUAAAAUUGAGUUAAAAAAGAAUUAACUAAUAUGAAGAUGAAGUACCGAGUUGAGAGAGUACUCACGUUUAAUCCCACAAUGGAAACACGGUCCUUCUCUGCCCAUGAGAAUUGAUUUUUCUUUAAAAUCUAUUUCUGAAGUGCCUCAACUUAUCUUUAACUCCUCAAUGGACAGAUUCAGAAAUACUACAAGAAAUUCAAGAAUUAGGUGCAUUCAUAAUAAAGAUCUAAUUUUAAAAUAGUUAACAAUUGUGAAAUCACAUGGAAAAAGUAAAAAGAAACAACAGUUCAAAAGCUAAAAAUUUUGAGUCAUUCCAUUAUGAUAUGAAAGGAGAACAAAAAAAUAGUUCAACAAAGCGUUGUUAUGUGUAGAAGAAUUUGAUUAAAAAUCACACACACACACACACACACACACACACACACACAUAUAUAUAUAUAUGAUUCGAUAACAACAAUAAUUUCCUUUCCCAAACAAGUUGGAGUGUGCUAAAAAUGAAUCUCAUAUGUAAGCGUAAAAGCAAGAAGAAAAUAAAAGGUAAAAGCAUUUAAAAGGAAAAGAAUAAAAUAAAUAAUUAGGAAAAUGAAAGAAUAGAAAUAAAUGGAGAUAAGUAAAAUAACAAAAUGGUAACAUAUAGAAAAAAGCCGUAUAUAAAGUUAAAAGGAAAACAAAGAGAAAAAUGAAGGAAAAAAGGGGGGAAUAGAGAAAGUGAGAAACAAUACACACACAAAAAGGUGGAACACCUUAUUCGACCUCAGAGAUGCAGAUUACAUUCCUCCUCUCUCCCCUAUCACACUAGACAUGUCCUUAGUUAUAUUUUGCUCCUCCAAGUCUCUUUGUACAAUUUUUCCCCAAGUAAUUUUGAUAAAAGAAUAAAAUAAAUAAAUGAAAAUAAGAGUAGAAUAUAUAUUAUUGAUAAGUAAUAAAAAAACAUAUUCAUUAUGUAAAAAUAACUUUCAUUCUAUAUUGGUACCUUUAGGCUUCUAGUCUUGCUUUUGAUCCUGUGUUUGCUGAAAAGGUGCUAGGUACAGGAAGAACAGAAAAAGUCACCCUUAUAUACAUAUAGAGGAGUUUCUUCAAACAGAAUUCGGGAGACAGCUAUUCUCAUCGACACCAUUAAAGUAGACUUUAACGAGAUCUACAAGCAAAUUCUGAGGAAAACACUUGGGAUUCAGAAGACAUAGAUGAUAGAACAGGUGGAUAAAUUAAUUUGAUUUUGUUUUUUUCUGUUGACUUGCGCUUUUAUCUCUCUAUUAUUAGUUUCAAAAAACUUCAAAAAAUCUCACCAGUCCCAAAAUUCGAGUACUGAUUUUGAAACUUGGCAAGUGCACUCGGACAUUUUUAUGUAAUCCUAGGACUUGCACAAUUAAUUCGAUAUCUAGCCCAAUUAACACAAUACUACCUUGCUCUCGCAUUGAUGAUUUCUCUUAUACUAUUUAGGUACCACUCAUAAUGACUCUCGGAUAAAAGGCUUGUUAAUUUUUAGGUGUGCUUAUUUACAUUUCCAGAUUUAAUUUUGCUUGUACUUAUAUUUUCCUUUACUUUUCCAUUAAAAACUUUCUUAAUGUGACAAUAUUUGCAUACAUGAAUUAAUGUGAAUGAUAUUUUUGUGACUUUGUUAGGAAUCUCAUUUAUUGUGUUCAAAUUUGCUAUGAAUUCAGGUGAGUUUUUUUUUCUUCUUGGACAAUUUCAAUUGAAAAUUUUAUUUAUUCUGUUUACAUAUGCAUUAAUUGCAUAAUAGAUUAGUUUGCGAAGUUUUUCUCAGGUUGAAAUGGAACCUUGUGGGGGAGCUUAUGUUAAUUACUUUAAUAACUUAAUUUAUUGCUAUGGUUCCAUUCUUUAUUAUGCAUUUCUGAUACAUCAGGAAAUACAUGAUUAGUAUUUAGAGAGGACAAUAAGAUUUUAUUGGUAGAGGGAACACGACUAGAGAAUAUAAAUAUAUACAUUAACAAGAGAUCAGCAUUUCAUUCUUUCAGCUCCUUAAAGUGUGCAUGUAAUAGUAACAUCCCCAAAUUGAGUGUGAUGCCUUUUCUUGAGGAUCAUAUUGUUUGUCAUUUUUACAAAACCAGUGAAAUGAAUGGAGCUAAAAUCUCUAUAUUAAUUUAAGUAUCGCUUUAAAAUGACACUUUUUCUCUUUUAUCAUUUCCGCUUCAGUGUAGCAACCACAUCUUGGUUGAAAAAUCAUUUUUUCUAGUAGACGAUACUUUUACAAGGAAAUAGCACUUCUAGUUCUUCCUAGUACAAGUUGCUUAUAUAUUAUGGUGCUCCAGUCAUCCAAAUAAGAGUCCAAUUUUUAAAGCAAAAUUUAUGAUAAAAGUUCUUAUAAUAAAAUAGCUUGAAUUUGACAUAAUCAACGACUUACAUCAAUACUAAAUUAUAGUGAGAUUUGGUACAUUAAUUGGACUCGUGUCCAUCUGCAUGCUAAGGGUUGAAUUGGGAGAAGGCUACUCUUUCUCUAGUAAAGAUACUUAGCUAUGAGGCGUAGGUAAUUUCAACUCGAGGUCUUGACAUAAAUCUAAACUGACCAACUUCACAGGAUUUUGCAAACCAUUAUUCAUUUGUAGUCCAAUUGUGUUUUAGGUGAAUAGAAACUGAUUUCAUGUACAUUGUAAUACAAUUUAUGUUUCCACCUUUAGGUGGUUUUUUCAUACUAGAACAAAAUAGGCUUAUUUUGAUUCCAGAAGCACUUGAUUAACUUAACAAAAACAUUUUGUUACCAAGAUUUUAAAGAAUUACCAAUUUGUGGCUUGUUUGUGAUAAAUAAGUAGUAUCUUUGUGACACUGAUGAAUUCUGUAUUAUUUUUGUGCUAGAGCUAAACAUAUUGUACCAAACAAACUCACUCUUAGGCUGGCAAAUGGUGGCCAAAGUCGAUUUGAUACUUUCUGCCGUUUUAUAGCAUGAGCCAGGUAUCAUAUUGAGGGCCUCUUGGUCUCAGAAAUUCUGUAUUCAUCUUUUGAAUUCAACCUGUUAGCACUGUCUAUGUGCCUCCAGAGUCUCUCAUUUCUGAUGCAAUUUUAUUGGGAUGCAGGGCAAACAGCAAUCUUGCGCCAUCUGCUGGCAGACAAUUUUCCAGCUGCAUUUUCCAUAUUUUUUUGUGUGUGAUUAUGGUAUUUUACCUUUUACACUUGCUAAGCUUAGACCGUAUUCAUAUGGGAUAUAUUGCCAUAUGCUUGAAACUGUCCUUUAAGAGAUAAUAUUGACAUGUUAUAAUGUACUACCUUCUUGAGAUAGACAGGCUUGUAGUUUUUGUAGUUUACGAUUAUUGAUACAAGUGUCGUGAAAUUCUUUUCCGUGAUAUCGCUUACCACGAAUAUUAAUAUAUUUUCUCAUCCCUGCAUAAUAUGCAGAGAAUGCUUCCAAAGCAUGCAGAUAUCCAGCCAAAAUGCAGAGAUAUUCUUGAACUUGCAAGCUGGAAAUGGAGUUGCCAAACAUCAAGCAACUGGGAUAAAGGAGAUGGCCAUGAGAUUGGUUUCUAUUGAGUAAGCUAUAUUCAUUGUUCUGAAAGAAUAUUGCUGAUAAUUGUGUGCCUUGAUAAUUUCUAUAGGUAGCAUGUAGCCUGUAAUUUGAAAUGAUUAUGUUCUAGUGAUAAUCUAGAUACAAGUCAACUCAUGUCUGCAAGAGGAUCUGUAGACUGGAUUAACUCAAACUUCUAAAUAAUCUUAUUUCUAUCUCAAUUUUGAUUUGUGAG
rnacentral:lncRNA from 1 species